rnacentral:rRNA from 1 species
UACGGAGGGAGCUAGCGUUGUUCGGAAUUACUGGGCGUAAAGCGCACGUAGGCGGCUAUUCAAGUCGGGGGUGAAAUCCCGGGGCUCAACCCCGGAACUGCCCUCGAAACUAGAUAGCUAGAAUCUUGGAGAGGCGAGUGGAAUUCCGAGUGUAGAGGUGAAAUUCGUAGAUAUUCGGAAGAACACCAGUGGCGAAGGCGGCUCACUGGCCCGGUACUGACGCUGAGGUGCGAAAGCGUGGGGAGCAAACAGG